rnacentral:rRNA from 1 species
UACGAAGGGGGCUAGCGUUGUUCGGAAUUACUGGGCGUAAAGCGCACGUAGGCGGAUUGUUAAGUUAGGGGUGAAAUCCCAGGGCUCAACCCUGGAACUGCCUUUAAUACUGGCAAUCUCGAGUCCGAGAGAGGUGAGUGGAAUUCCGAGUGUAGAGGUGAAAUUCGUAGAUAUUCGGAGGAACACCAGUGGCGAAGGCGGCUCACUGGCUCGGUACUGACGCUGAGGUGCGAAAGCGUGGGGAGCAAACA